rnacentral:rRNA from 1 species
AGGGUUUGAUCCUGGCUCAGAUUGAACGCUGGCGGCAUGCUUUACACAUGCAAGUCGAACGGUAACAGGCCGCAAGGUGCUGACGAGUGGCGAACGGGUGAGUAAUGUAUCGGAACGUGCCCAGUCGUGGGGGAUAACGCAGCGAAAGCUGCGCUAAUACCGCAUACGAUCUAUGGAUGAAAGCGGGGGACCGUAAGGCCUCGCGCGAUUGGAGCGGCCGAUAUCAGAUUAGGUAGUUGGUGGGGUAAAGGCUCACCAAGCCAACGAUCUGUAGCUGGUCUGAGAGGACGACCAGCCACACUGGGACUGAGACACGGCCCAGACUCCUACGGGAGGCAGCAGUGGGGAAUUUUGGACAAUGGGCGCAAGCCUGAUCCAGCAAUGCCGCGUGCAGGAAGAAGGCCUUCGGGUUGUAAACUGCUUUUGUACGGAACGAAACGGUCCUGGUUAAUACCUGGGGCUAAUGACGGUACCGUAAGAAUAAGCACCGGCUAACUACGUGCCAGCAGCCGCGGUAAUACGUAGGGUGCAAGCGUUAAUCGGAAU